AAUGAACGCUGGCGGCAUGCCUAACACAUGCAAGUCGAACGGCAGCACAGUAAGAGCUUGCUCUUACGGGUGGCGAGUGGGGGACGGGUGAGUAAGAAACCGGAAGCUACUUUGUCUGGGGGGGUAACGUAGGGAAACUUACGCUAAGACAGCAUACGACCUACUUGUGUAAGCAGGGGUUCUUCGUACCAUGCGCGAUUGGAUGAGCCGAUGUCGGAUUAGCUAGUUGGCGGGGUAGAGGCCCACCAAGGCGACGAUCCGUAGCUGGUUUGAGAGGAGGAUGAGCAACACUGGAACUGAGAAACGGCCCAGACUCCUACGGGAGGAAGCAGUGGGGAAUAUUGGACAAUGGGCGAAAGCCUGAUCAAGCAAUACCGGGUGGGUGAAGAAGGCCUUCGGGUUGUAAAGUCAUUUUGUUGGGAAAGAAAAGCAGCAGGUUAAUACGCUGCUGUUCUGACGGUACCCAAAGAAUAAGCACCGGCUAACUUCGUG
rnacentral:rRNA from 1 species